UGUCAAUUUAAUAAUUUCUAAAAUAAACUACAUGUAAUAUGUAUAACUAUGAAAUAAUUACACAAAGCCUAAUUUGUUUUCAAUUGUUUUAUAAUAAGGUAAAGAAUAACAAGUUUGUUUAUGUUUAUUGUCUAUGUCUAGUCUCCUUAGUGUAUUAUUGGUCCUGAGAGAUUCCAUCAGUACCAGUACUCCAUCAGUAUCAAUGUUAGUACGGUAGAGCCAAAGGUAAGAUAGUGUGUGGUUGUAGAGUAAAAGUUCAGCUAGUGACUGAGCACUGGUGGAAGUGAUGUCAGGAUUGUAUUGAAGAUAUAAGCCAGUAAUUGUUUUAUUAUUAAUUAAUGAUUGUGUUAGUGCAAUGACUCCAUCAUCAUUAAUGGAAUCAUCACUGAUCUCUAGUCUCUUUAAUGAAGUAUUGUUUGUUAAGUUGUGUGACAGUAAGAGGAUGACAUCUUUUGUUAUUUUAGUGUAUCCUAUACCAAUCCACUUUAUUGUUCUUAUGUCAAGUGCUAGUGAUAUCAAUAGGUAUACAAUAUCAGGUGAUGAGUAAUGGAGACGAAUUUCCUCAUGAUUGUCUGUUAAUUGACUGAUCACUUCCUGACAUUGACCUGCUAAUGGUUUAGUGAGGGUUACAUCAUACCAGGUCCACUUCACCUCUCCAGUCUCUUCUCCUAAUAAUAAACACAGUGAUGCUGGUUUUGUACCAGUAAGUCAUUACAGCUGCUAGGAUGGAAUGGGUGUGGUCUAUCUUUGAUCAUGUGACAGUAAACAAAAAUCAAUUUCCUUGGUCCAUCAUACCAGCUAGUCAAUUUCUUGUUAGAUUAUUUUACUGAGAACAACAACUGAACGAACAACAACUAAGUAACUGAAAAAAAUCAAUAAGAAGCUUGAUACAUAUACAUGAAACCACAGAGUCUACAAAGUUAGUAGAAGAUUCUAUAUCAUAACUUACAAUCAUACUGACUAUGAUUUUUGGUAAUUUUAUUGUGUUUCUGCUUUUUUUUAUAAAAAAUUAUUGUAAAACU